UACGGAGGGAGCUAGCGUUGUUCGGAAUUACUGGGCGUAAAGCGCGCGUAGGCGGUCUAUAAAGUUGGGGGUGAAAUCCCGGAGCUCAACUCCGGAACUGCCUCCAAACUGCUAGACUCGAGUCGGAAGAGGUAAGUAGAAUUCCCAGUGUAGAGGUGAAAUUCGUAGAUAUUGGGAAGAAUACCAGUGGCGAAAGGCGGACUUACUGGUCCGAUACUGACGCUGAGGUGCGAAAAGCGUGGGGAGCAAACAGGAUUAGAUACCCGCGUAGUCC
rnacentral:rRNA from 1 species